UGAAAGUAUAUGAUUAUCAUAAUUUGAACCAAAUCUCUAUAAUUACUAAAUAACACUCUUAACAUUAAAAUAUAAAUAUUUUGUUAUAUAAAAAAUGACACGACCCGCCCCAACCUACAUGUCUGAUUUGAGGCGAAUCGUGCGGAGUAAUAACUAAAACUUGUGGCACAUAUUUAAUUCAUGAAAAUAUGUAUAUAAUAUGGCCUUUCCUAUAAACACAUAAUCACAUCUGUGCCUUUUCUGAAAUCAUAUAUGAAUUCAAACUUGCAUAACUUAUGUCUCAUUGUACAUACUGACAUUACAUGAAUAUUUACAUACAAAAUAUAAGCAACAUAAACGUGCUCAAAAUGCAAGACAUGCAGCAAUGCGUCUCGUGGCCCAACUUCAAUUAACUAGAACUGAUCUGCACGAAAUCCUGUGGAAUCCUGGGAGGAAAUGGGUAAAUAGGAAAAUAGUGAGCUUACAGCUCAAUAAGUGGAUGUAUAUUAUAUUAAAAAUAUUAACAAUAAUAAUUAUAAUAAAGUAUGUGUACUAGUGCUUAUAUAUAAUAAUGUAACAUAACUCCAUAUUGAAUACCGCACAUCAACAAACAUGGAAUUCAUACAUACAUACAUCACAAACUGCACCAAAUAGUACCAAGGAGAAAUAACUCUCAAUACUCGUCGGGAUCAUCAUCGCACAAGUAGAGCGGGGGGAAAAACCUCUCAAUACCCGGCGGAAUUUAGCUACAUUGCUCGGAUAAAGUAACCUAACUCUCAAUACGCAUGCGCAGAGUCUACGGGGAUGGGUACAUAUAUGGUGACUAGCAAUCACAUCUUAUGACUCAAUCAAACAUAUAAUAUGCGUACAUAUAAUCAUAACAUGAUAUUAAAUCAUAAUAUCAAAUAUAAAUGCUUCAUGGAAUACAUAAUAAUAAUAAUAGUAUCCACUCACAGAUCCUGUUUCACUAUGAGGUUCGUUGGGGCUCUUGUAGGUUCCUGAAUUCUCGAGUUCCUCCUAAAAUACAGGGUUUGAAAAUUAACUGUUAGAACUGAUAUAAAAACUUAUACGUAUCAUGCAAACUGUAACAUAACUGCUCAAAUUUCAUAAAUCUAUUACUCACUGUUCCAAUGGAUAUAAUUCUAAUUAUCCAAUUUCAAUUCCUGCAACUUAAUUAUUUAUUUUUCUUUUCCUUCACCAUCUGCCUUUCUUUCUUUUCUUCUUACUUCUUUUCUUCUUUUCUUUUCUUUGUCCUCUCUUUUCUCUUCUCUUUUCUCUCGACUUUCUUCUUUUCCCUCUUUUUCUUUUCUUUUCUUCUCCUUUCGAAUUGUACUGUUUUGGUUAAAUGGUGAAAAUGAUAAGAACAGCUUCAAAUUUCACUUUAUAUCCGCCCACCGACUCAAGCAAGCAGCUCUCCAAUUGUUAAAUAUAUAACCACCCCUUGAAGCAAGCAAAUGUGCAGCUGGCCGCUCUAAUUUCAUGCACGUGUGCUGACCGCUCUAAUGCAUGUACG
rnacentral:lncRNA from 1 species